rnacentral:rRNA from 1 species
AACCAAGAGAUUAAGUUAUACUAUAACGGUAAAAAGACAGUUAGGUGAAAUCGCCAAAUUAGUUUAUUUAUGGUUGAAUAAGAUAGGUAAAAUUUGACUAUCAACUUAAAAAUUAUUAUUAGCUAAGUUACUGAAUCUGUGACAUCCCUGAGGGAAACUGGGAUUAGAUACCCCAUUAUUCUUGGAAAUAAAAAGAAAAAUCUACCAGAGCACUACGAAUAGAAAAAUUUAAAACUCAAAGAGCUUGGCGGUGCUUUAGACUUUUCAGGGGAACCUGUCUUAUAAUCGACAGUCCACGCUAUACCUGACCUUAUCUUGCGUACAAUUUGUAUACCGUCGUCGUCAGGUAACUUUUAAAAAUUUUAAUAGUUAGCGAAAAAGUUAAAAUGAACUUAAACGUCAGAUCAAGGUGCAAUUAAUGAUAGGGACAAGAUGGGUUACAAUUACAAAAAUAAUAAUACGAAAAACUAAUUGAAACAUUAUUUUAAAGGAGGACUUGAAAGUAAAACAUCUAUAUAUAUAUAUUAAUUGAAUAAAGCUCUGAAGCGUGC